rnacentral:rRNA from 1 species
CUUGGUCAUUUAGAGGAAGUAAAAGUCGUAACAAGGUUUCCGUAGGUGAACCUGCGGAAGGAUCAUUAUUGAAAUAAACCUGAUGGGCUGUUGCUGGGUUCUCUAGGGAAACAUGUGCACGCUUGUCAUCUUUAUAUCUCCACCUGUGCACCUUUUGUAGACCUGAAUAUCUUUCCAAGUGUUUUCAGCACUCGGGUAUGAGGCAUGACUUUUGCUGUCUUUCCUUACAUUUUCAGGCCUAUGUUUAUAUAUUAUAUACCCAAUCUAUGUUAUAGAACGUGUAGUCAAUAGGUGUUUGUGCCUAUAAUCAAUCUAUACAACUUUCAGCAACGGAUCUCUUGGCUCUCGCAUCGAUGAAGAACGCAGCGAAAUGCGAUAAGUAAUGUGAAUUGCAGAAUUCAGUGAAUCAUCGAAUCUUUGAACGCACCUUGCGCUCCUUGGUAUUCCGAGGAGCACGCCUGUUUGAGUGUCAUUAAUAUAUCAAUCUCUUCAGCUUUUUUGCUGAUUGAGUUUGGAUGUGGGGGGUAUUUUUUUUUGCUGGCUUCUUUCUGAGGUUGGCUCCCCUAAAAUGCAUUAGCGGAACGAUUUGUUGACUUGUUCACUAGUGUGAUAACUAUCUAUGCUAUUGACAACGAAGCAUGUUCAGCUUCUAACGGUCCAUUGACUUGGACAAUUUUUCAUUAAUGUGACCUCAAAUCAGGUGGGACUACCCGCUGAACUUAAGCAUAUCAAUAAGCGGAGGAAAAGAAACUAACAAGGAUUCCCCUAGUAACUGCGAGUGAAGCGGGAAAAGCUCAAAUUUAAAAUCUGGCAGCUCCCUUGGCUGUCCGAGUUGUAAUCUAGAGAAGUGUUAUCCGCGCUGGACCGUGUACAAGUCUCCUGGAAUGGAGCGUCAUAGAGGGUGAGAAUCCCGUCUUUGGCACGGAUGUCCCGGGGCUUUUGUGAUGCGCUCUCGAAGAGUCGAGUUGUUUGGGAAUGCAGCUCAAAAUGGGUGGUGAACUCCAUCUAAAGCUAAAUAUUGGCGAGAGACCGAUAGCGAACAAGUACCGUGAGGGAAAGAUGAAAAGCACUUUGGAAAGAGAGUGAAACAGUACGUGAAAUUGUUGAAAGGGAAACGCUUGAAGUCAGUCGCGUCGACCGAGACUCAGCCUUGCUUCGGCUUGGUGUACUUCUCGGCUUGACGGGUCAGCGUCAAUUUUGUCCCUCGGAUAAUGGCGAGAGAAAGGUGGCACCUUUGCGGGUGUGUUAUAGUCUCUUGUCGCAUGCGAGGGCCAGGAUUGAGGAACUCAGCACGCGCCUCUCGGCGUCGGGGCUUCGGCUCACGCUACGUGCUUAGGAUGCUGGCGUAAUGGCUUUAGACGACCCGUCUUGAAACACGGACC